CAACCCUUAUCCUUUGUUGCCAGCGAUUAGGUCGGGAACUCAAAGGAGACUGCCAGUGAUAAACUGGAGGAAGGUGGGGAUGACGUCAAGUCAUCAUGGCCCUUACGACCAGGGCUACACACGUGCUACAAUGGCGCAUACAAAGAGAAGCGACCUCGCGAGAGCAAGCGGACCUCAUAAAGUGCGUCGUAGUCCGGAUUGGAGUCUGCAACUCGACUCCAUGAAGUCGGAAUCGCUAGUAAUCGUGGAUCAGAAUGCCACGGUGAAUACGUUCCCGGGCCUUGUACACACCGCCCGUCACACCAUGGGAGUGGGUUGCAAAAGAAGUAGGUAGCUUAACCUUCGGGAGGGCGCUUACCACUUUGUGAUUCAUGACUGGGGUGAAGUCGUAACAAGGUAACCGUAGGGGAACCUGCGGUUGGAUCACCUCCUUACCUUAAAGAAGC
rnacentral:rRNA from 2 species